rnacentral:rRNA from 1 species
AGGGUUUGAUCAUGGCUCAGAACGUACGCUGGCGGCACGCCUAACACAUGCAAGUCGAACGAAGUAGCAAUACUUAGUGGCAGACGGGUGAGUAACAUGUGGGUAUCUGCCCUUUGGCCUGGAAUAACACGAGGAAACUUGUGCUAAUACCGGAUAAGUCUUUACAGAGAAAGCUUUAUGCACCAUUGGAUGAGCCCGCACUUGAUUAGUUUGUUGGUGGGGUAAUGGCCUACCAAGACUUUGAUCAAUAGCUGAUUUGAGAGGAUGAUCAGCCACAUUGGGACUGAGACACGGCCCAAACUCCUACGGGAGGCAGCAGUGGGGAAUCUUGCACAAUGGAGGAAACUCUGAUGCAGCGAUGCCGCGUGAGUGAAGAAGGCCCUUGGGUUGUAAAGCUCUUUCGUCGGGGAAGAAAAUGACUGUACCCGAAUAAGAAGGUCCGGCUAACUUCGUGCCAGCAGCCGCGGUAAUACGAAGGGACCUAGCGUAGUUCGGAAUUACUGGGCUUAAAGAGUUCGUAGGUGGUUGAAAAAGUUGGUGGUGAAAUCCCAGAGCUUAACUCUGGAACUGCCAUCAAAACUUUUCAGCUAGAGUUUGAUAGAGGAAAGCAGAAUUUCUAGUGUAGAGGUGAAAUUCGUAGAUAUUAGAAAGAAUACCAAUUGCGAAGGCAGCUUUCUGGAUCAUUACUGACACUGAGGAACGAAAGCAUGGGUAGCGAAGAGGAUUAGAUACCCUCGUAGUCCAUGCUGUAAACGAUGUGUGCUAGACGUUGGAAAUUUUAUUUUCAGUGUCGCAGCAAAAGCGUUAAGCACACCGCCUGGGGAGUACGACCGCAAGGUUAAAACUCAAAUGAAUUGACGGGGACCCGCACAAGCAGUGGAGCAUGUGGUUUAAUUCGAAGAUACGCGCAGAACCUUACCAACUCUUGACAUGUCCGUCGCGACUCGUAGAGAUAUGAGUCUUCGGUUCGGCCGGACGGAACACAGGUGCUGCAUGGCUGUCGUCAGCUCGUGUCGUGAGAUGUUGGGUUAAGUCCCGCAACGAGCGCAACCCUCACUUUUAGUUGCCAUCAUUAAGUUGGGCACUCUGAAAGAACUGCCAGUGAUAAGCUGGAGGAAGGUGGGGAUGACGUCAAGUCCUCAUGGCCCUUACGUGUUGGGCUACACACGUGCUACAAUGGCAUUUACAAUAGGAAGCAAGAUGGCGACGUCAAGCAAAUCCUAAAAAGAUGCCUCAGUUCGGAUUGUACUCUGCAACUCGAGUACAUGAAGCUGGAAUUACUAGUAAUCGUGGAUCAGCGCGCCGCGGUGAAUACGUUCCCGGGUCUUGUACACACCGCCCGUCACACCAUGGGAGUUGGUUCUACCUUAAGGCAAGGUUUCAAACCCUUGACCACGGUAUAGUCAGCGACUGGGGUGAAGUCGUAACAAGGUAGCCGUA